rnacentral:lncRNA from 1 species
CUCUUUUGUCUCAGCCCGCAGAGGAUAAAAGCAGCCGCAGCUGCCUCGGGAACUGCGCUGCGGCGUCUCGGCUUCCCCUCGUUGGGUGGCCGUGCGAGGCAGUUCUAUCGGGCAUCUCUGGGCCGCUUAGCUGCGGAAGAGGCGCUCGUCUUUUUCCUUUACAGGGCUGCGGAGAUUGGAAGGCGGAAUCCAUAGCUGUGGACGCCGGAGCACACCGUUAGCAGCGGGUUGCAGGUAAAAUACAUGGGGGCAAGAUUCCCUCUUUCGAAGAGGGGUGGGGGACAUCGUCCCCAGUACUGGGCGGCUCCCAGUGUGGAGAAUUGGUAACUUCGAGGCAGGGGAAGGAGCACCCAAGGCCCGG